AUGGCUGCGAGCACGAAGAAGCUCCGUCCGCUCCUGCUCACCCUCCUCCUGCUCCUCACCACCGCCGUCGCGGCGUCCACCAUCGACUGCGACUGCGACAAGCCGAAGGCCCCCAAGCCCUCCCACCCGCCCAAGACCAAGCCCCCCACCAAGGGCCCCAAGCCGGGACCCAAGGGCCCCACCUACCCGUCGCCGGCGCCCAAGGGCCACCUCCCGCACCCGCCGGUCGUCGGCCCGCCGAAGGGUCACGUCCCUCGCCCACCGGUCGUCGGCCCUCCGAAGGGCCACGUCCCCCGCCCGCCGGUCUACGGUCCGCCCAAGGGCCCCAUCACGCGCCCGCCGGUCACAGCUCCUCCCGUCGUCGUCGGGCCGCCGGUGACCUACCCCACGCCGCCAGUCACCUACCCCGCGCCACCAGUGACCGCCCCUCCAGUCACCUACCCGGCGCCACCAGUGACCACCCCUCCGGUCACCUACCCCGCGCCGCCGGUGACCAACCCCCCGGUCACGUACCCGUCGCCUCCGGUGAACACGCCGUGCCCUCCUCCACCGCCGGCGACGCCCGCGGCGCAGACGUGCCCGGUGGACUCGCUGAAGAUCGGGGCGUGCGUGGACCUGCUGGGCGGGCUGGUGCACGUGGGCCUCGGCGACCCGGUGGUGAACAAGUGCUGCCCGCUGCUGGAGGGGCUGGUGGAGCUGGAGGCGGCGGUGUGCCUGUGCACCACCAUCCGGCUGAAGCUCCUCAACAUCAACCUCGUCCUCCCCCUCGCCCUCCAGCUCCUCCUCACCUGCGGCAAGACCCCUCCCACCGGCUACACCUGCUCCAUCUAG
rnacentral:rRNA from 1 species